UUCUACAAGUCUCCUAUACUAGUUAUUUCUUAUGUAUAUAAUUGAGAUUGCUUAUUAUAUUAUGAUUUAGUAUGCAGUUUCCCCCAUAACUCUGUGUUGUUUGAGGUUGUGGGAGGAACUACACACCAUGUGACCAGAUCUGAGACACUUCAGAUCCAAGACUCCAUUUUGGAAGCCAUUUUUUUUACCUCAGAACAGUACAGUGUGUGUGAGGCAUUUACCUCAGAAGCAGUCGGGAAGUUGAGGAUUGGAGAGCUGCGUAAGGAUGGAGAAAACUCCCAGUAACCAUUCACAUUUCCUUUUAAAAAAAAGCAAAGAUGAUCAAGACAGGCCACGGAAAUGGUACUGACUGUUGUUCAUUCCCUUCUUCCAGAGAGAGUCACAGGCUAUAUUUUAUUUCGUUAUUAUUUCUGUUCAUGUUCUGUUUCUGAACUUAUGCAUCUUGCUUUUUCUCCAAGUUCCUCAUAACAGCUUAUAUGGUCCUCACCACCAUUUUUAUGUUCACAGUCAGCCUGCAAGGUAGGUUUGAUGCAACCAGUGCCUACUAUGAUGCCAGACAGAAACAAAUGUGAAUGUCUGCAUCUGCCUCUACUUCAGUGCAAAGCAAGGAGGCACUUUUCUGUGAUGCCACAAACACCAGGGCUUUGCUCACUCACCAACUAUAACAUUCUUGGUUCAGCUGUGUGCCUACAAGCAGGACAUCAAGAAAACAGCCCUACCAUGAAGAAGUUACUUUGGGGGUUUAUAACACACAGAAUCUCCCAGCUAUUGUCAGCAAUAUUAUAAAUUAACUAGGUAUUUUUAAUUACAAAAAUGUGAGUGAAGCACUGAAAGAGUUAAAUGGAUGCAAUGACUCAGCAAAAGCUGCAGUUCAAUAUAAGCAUGUGUGCCUGUAGCUUAGGGACGCCUCACUAUUAGUCAGCCUCAGAGUGAGAGAAGUAGAGUGGGAGGUGUUAGUAAGCCUCAGUGUAAGGCGGCUUGAUUUGAGAAGCUUCAGUGAGAUAAGCUGCAUCCUCACGACGACCCUGACACAGCACCCAAAUGCAAAUCAAGGAACAUGAAAGGCACUGCAGACUAACUCAACCAGAGAAGUCAGCCAUAGCAGAGCACUUGAUGAACCACCCUAGACACAGCAUAUCAUUUGAGAACACAGAAAUGCUGGACCACUCUCACAACCACCAUGUCGGACUACACAGAGAAACCAUUGAAAUCCACAAGCAUGUGAACAAUUUCAGCAGAAAGGAGGAAACCAUGGAAAUGAACACAAUCUUGCUACCCGUAUUAAAAAAAAUCUAGAAUCAGGAGUUUACAACACAAUUAACACAAAUAUUGUGAAUACUGACUAGUUUCCCCCUAUUUUAAUGUUGUCUUUGUGCUUUUGGCUAAAUUGUACUUAUUUUAAAUUGUAAAGUGCCUUGCUUCCCAGUUUUGUGGAAAAAGCAGGGUAUAAAGAUGAUCAUGCCAAACCCACAUGUACUCCAUCCUUCAUUCGUCUUUCUUUGUAAUCAUGUUUUGAAAAAAGAAAUCCAAAGUUCCAGUAGUUUUUAGGCUUUUAUAAGAACUGUUCUAAAAGGCAGCACAGAAAUGAUAAAAAUAAUGGAUAAAAUACA